rnacentral:miRNA from 1 species
AACAGGUUAUAUGCGGUGCAGU